rnacentral:lncRNA from 1 species
UGGAAUGACUGUGUGUUGGCUGCUGCUGUUUGUGUGUGCAGUGCUUUGGGUUCUGCUGUGUGUGUGUGCAGUGCUUUGACAAGAAGACUGUUCUGCUGUUUGCUGCAGUUGGAAUGACUGUCUUGUGCUGCUGUCUAACCUGCUGCUGCUGUCUAACCUGUACUGCUGGGUGCUGCUAUGUGUUGUUUAUGUCUGAUUUUAUGGCUGCUUGAUGUAAACAGUUUUGCCAAUCGGAUCACAGUUUAUGGCUCCUUGAUGUAAACCGUUUUGAGUCUUGCCAAAAAAUAUGUUCUGUUAGCUUGUGACACUAUGCCACUUAUGUUCUGUGACUUCUUACUUUAAUGUUAUGUUUGAUUUAAGUGUUUUUUUAAACACUGGAAUUUAGCAAUUGGAGAAAUGCUAAUGACUGACAUAUUUUCCCCUCCUUGUACUUUUCAUGUCUCUAAAGUAUUUGACAUUCUCUAGCUAACUAGCAUUGCAGUUUAUGAAUAUGGCUAAACUGAUACAUAUCACUGACAGAGACACAGGCAAUGAAAUCAACAUUCUCAAAUCAACUUUGUUGCAUUACAAUCAAUUCAUUACAUUUCAAAUAUGGAAAGAUUAAACAACCUAACUAGUAGUAAUCAACUUUCCAUCUCCCAAAUUAAGUACAAAUUUCUCCGAUUUAAGCAACUUUUUGCACAGAGAUGGUUCCAAAGAAAUUCCAAAGUAGAAAAAUUAAGGAAACCCAUAUGAUUAUCUUGUAAAUCCUAUGUUUGCGUCUAACAUUUUGCACUUCAUUUUCAAAAGUCCUCAACUUCCUCAACAAACCAGGAAUCACUUGAAUAGCUCUCAGCUGCAUCGGAGGAUCAUACCACAUGAAAUACCCGUAACCAUGAGGCUGUUAAAAAAGAAUUUUUUGAGAACAAACUUCAUAUUAAAGGAAAUUGAAUAUAAAUUACUUAUUCUUGCAGUUUGACAUCCAUAGAAUCGACGACCAGGAUUCAAAUCAGUCCAAGAAGUUAUCAACAUAGCCGGACGAUGACAAUGACAGUGGUUAACUGCAGCCAUUUAAGUUGACUCUGUAUGUUCUGUGAUAGUUAUCAAUUAAAAAUGUAUCCAACUGUUAUGAUUUGGAUCUGAAGACAGUUGAAAAGACAAGUGAUCAUUUAAAUUAGCUUUACAUCGAAGCCAACUAAAUAACUAUUUUGCAUCAUCUACAAGUGAACUGACUUGGUAAGCUGAAGAGCAGAGCCUAUGUUUUUGUUGUUUGUUAAUCCUUCAUUAAAACUUCAUGAACAUGCUUGGAAAUUAACAUCUUGAAGAUAUGCAGAACUGAAGGUUAAACAUUUGUAAUCUCAAUAAAAACCAAGAAAUAUAGAAAUUAAUAUCAAAACAUAAGAUUUAUGUAUGUCGAAAUAAAUUAAAGACGGUGUUGCAAUUCGACUGAUUUUUGGGUGAAUGAGGUAUGAGUGAUUAUAAAAUAUAGCUUAGUAAUGAAACGCCUAUCAAGUAAAGGAUUAUUCUCAUCGCAGAAACAUACUCGGGAAUAUCUAAAAAAUGGCUACAAAAUGAGUACCCUAAAAAUAAAGCUGAUAAGAUGUAAAUUACUUACCGAUUCGAACUGGUUAGAUGAAGGAAAUCGAUUUUCUAGGGCUUUCUCUCUUGGAGCAAUAUCGCGCGUUUCUAGGGCUUCGUUCUCUCAGUUGAAGGGCUUCGCGAUGGACUAUAGUUUCGAUUUUGCAGGAGAAGGAAAGGAACUCAGCUCGUGAUGGAGAAGGAAAGGAACUCAGCAAUCGAUUGAGAAGGAGAAGGAAGUCGUUCGAUUUUGCAGUGAGGGAUUUUCAAGCUCUCGCUAAGUGUUUGUCGUUCGAUUUCUUGUGACUGAGUGGAUGCUCUAGGGCUUCGAUUUUGCAGGAGUGGAUUUUCAAGGAAUUCGAUUUUGGAAGUGAGGGAUUUUCAGUCGAGAUAUCGAUUUUGGAAGGAGCUGAGUCUUGUAAAAAGACUGAGUGAGUCGAUUUUAUGAAGGAAAUAGACUUGAGUGAGGAGAGAGAUC